GUUCACAGUCUGAUACGAGCUCGUUGCUCUCUCUUUCUCUCUCUAUCGGAUUCAAGGAAAAGGGCAAAUCGCAGCUGGGCGAGAAAUCCAUAAAUACUCCAUAAACUCGAAGAGCGACCUCUGAUUGACCUCAAUAUAGACCGUCAGAUCCUGCUGUCGCCGGCGAUGGCCUUGUCUGUCUCCUCCAUCUCGGUCCGAUCCCCAAACUUCCCACUUUUCGCUUUCAUUUCUCUCCUCCUCCUCCACCUUUCUCCUGCUUUCGCCUCCGAGGCGGAUCACAAGUAUCAACCAGAUGACCCAGUUACCCUUUGGGUGAAUAAGGUUGGUCCUUAUAAUAAUCCACAAGAAACUUAUAACUACUACAGCCUUCCAUUU
rnacentral:misc_RNA from 1 species